rnacentral:rRNA from 1 species
UCACUACCCGCGAGUAGCACUAUGGAAACCGCAUGGUAUCCAGUAGUGAAAGCGCGGCUUUUGCAUGUCACUUAUAGAUGCAUCCGCCACCGUAGUCAGUUAGUUGGCUAAUGUAGCUGCUACCAAGGCAUCGAUACGUAGCCGAGCUGAGAGGGUGAUCGCCCCCACUGAACUGAGACACGAUCAGACUCCUACGGGAGGCAGCAGUAGGGAAUCUUCCGCAAUGGGCGAAAGCCUGACGGAGCAACGCCGCGUGAGUGAUGAAGGUCUUCGGAUCGUAAAACUCUGUUAUCAGGGAAGAACAAAUGUGUAAGUAACUGUGCACAUCUUGACGGUACCUGAUCAGAAAGCCACGGCUAACUACGUGCCAGCAGCCGCGGUAAUACGUAGGUGGCAAGCGUUAUCCGGAAUUAUUGGGCGUAAAGCGCGCGUAGGCGGUUUUUUAAGUCUGAUGUGAAAGCCCACGGCUCAACCGUGGAGGGUCAUUGGAAACUGGAAAACUUGAGUGCAGAAGAGGAAAGUGGAAUUCCAUGUGUAGCGGUGAAAUGCGCAGAGAUAUGGAGGAACACCAGUGGCGAAGGCGACUUUCUGGUCUAUAACUGACGCUGAUGUGCGAAAGCGUGGGGAUCAAACAGGAUUAGAUACCCUGGUAGUCCACGCCGUAAACGAUGAGUGCUAAGUGUUAGGGGGUUUCCGCCCCUUAGUGCUGCAGCUAACGCAUUAAGCACUCCGCCUGGGGAGUACGACCGCAAGGUUGAAACUCAAAGGAAUUGACGGGGACCCGCACAAGCGGUGGAGCAUGUGGUUUAAUUCGAAGCAACGCGAAGAACGUUACCAAAUCUUGACAUCCUUUGACCGCUCUAGAGAUAGAGUCUUCCCCUUCGGGGGACAAAGUGACAGGUGGUGCAUGGUUGUCGUCAGCUCGUGUCGUGAGAUGUUGGGUUAAGUCCCGCAACGAGCGCAACCCUUAAGCUUAGUUGCCAUCAUUAAGUUGGGCACUCUAAGUUGACUGCCGGUGACAAACCGGAGGAAGGUGGGGAUGACCUCAAAAUCAUCAUGCCCCUUAUGAUCUGGGCCAACCCCGUUUUUUAAAUGGACAAUAAAAAGGGCCGCCCAACCGCCAGGGCAAGCCAAUCCCAUAAAGUUGUUCUCACUUCAGAUUGUAGUUCGGCACCACACCACCGGAACCUUGAAAUCCCUAGAGUUCUAGAACAACCUGGCAGGAUGAAGGUUUUGCCGGGCCUGGCCCACCCCCCCGGACAC